GCCGCAAUGGCGGAAUUGGCAGACGCGCAGUGUUCAGGUCGCUGUAAGGUUUUCCUUGUGCAGGUUCGACUCCUGUUUGCGGCA
rnacentral:tRNA from 2 species